AUUGAACGCUGGCGGCAGGCCUAACACAUGCAAGUCGAGCGGAUGAAGGGAGCUUGCUCCUGGAUUCAGCGGCGGACGGGUGAGUAAUGCCUAGGAAUCUGCCUGGUAGUGGGGGAUAACGUCCGGAAAUGGGCGCUAAUACCGCAUACGUCCUGAGGGAGAAAGUGGGGGAUCUUCGGACCUCACGCUAUCAGAUGAGCCUAGGUCGGAUUAGCUAGUUGGUGGGGUAAAGGCCUACCAAGGCGACGAUCCGUAACUGGUCUGAGAGGAUGAUCAGUCACACUGGAACUGAGACGCGGUCCAGACUCCUACGGGAGGCAGCAGUGGGGAAUAUUGGACAAUGGGCGAAAGCCUGAUCCAGCCAUGCCGCGUGUGUGAAGAAGGUCUUCGGAUUGUAAAGCACUUUAAGUUGGGAGGAAGGGCAGUAAGUUAAUACCUUGCUGUUUUGACGUUACCAACAGAAUAAGCACCGGCUAACUUCGUG
rnacentral:rRNA from 1 species